rnacentral:rRNA from 1 species
UUGAAACACUGGUUCCCAUAUGAUCACCAAAGUUAAGCAAUGUUGAGUCUGGUAAGUACCUAGAUGGGUGACUGCUUGGGAAUACCAAGUGCUGUAA